AUUGAACGCUGGCGGCAUGCCUUACACAUGCAAGUCGAACGGCAGCACGGGUGCUUGCACCUGGUGGCGAGUGGCGAACGGGUGAGUAAUACAUCGGAACGUACCUUAUCGUGGGGGAUAACGCAGCGAAAGCUGUGCUAAUACCGCAUACGCCCUGAGGGGGAAAGCGGGGGAUCGCAAGACCUCGCGCGAUUAGAGCGGCCGAUGCCUGAUUAGCUUGUUGGUGGGGUAGAAGCCCACCAAGGCGACGAUCAGUAGCUGGUCUGAGAGGACGAUCAGCCACACUGGGACUGAGACACGGCCCAGACUCCUACGGGAGGCAGCAGUGGGGAAUUUUGGACAAUGGGGGCAACCCUGAUCCAGCAAUGCCGCGUGAGUGAAGAAGGCCUUCGGGUUGUAAAGCUCUUUUGUCAGGGAAGAAACACCGGCUCUAACACAGUCCGGGAAUGACGGUACUUGAAGAAUAAGCACCGGCUAACAACGUGCCAGCAGCCGCAGUAA
rnacentral:rRNA from 1 species